ACCUGAAACCGUGUACGUACAAGCAGUGGGAGCACAGGUUUACCUGUGUGACUGCGUACCUUUUGUAUAAUGGGUCAGCGACUUAUAUUCUGUAGCAAGGUUAACCGAAUAGGGGAGCCGGAGGGAAACCGAGUCUUAAUUGGGCGUUAAGUUGCAGGGUAUAGACCCGAAACCCGGUGAUCUAGCCAUGGGCAGGUUGAAGGUUGGGUAACACUAACUGGAGGACCGAACCGACUAAUGUUGAAAAAUUAGCGGAUGACCUGUGGCUGGGGGUGAAAGGCCAAUCAAACCGGGAGAUAGCUGGUUCUCCCCGAAAGCUAUUUAGGUAGCGCCUCGUGAAUUCAUCUCCGGGGGUAGAGCACUGUUUCGGCUAGGGGGCCAUCCCGGCUUACCAACCCGAUGCAAACUGCGAAUACCGGAGAAUGUUAUCACGGGAGACACACGGCGGGUGCUAACGUCCGUCGUGAAGAGGGAAACAACCCAGACCGCCAGCUAAGGUCCCAAAGUCAUGGUUAAGUGGGAAACGAUGUGGGAAGGCCCAGACAGCCAGGAUGUUGGCUUAGAAGCAGCCAUCAUUUAAAGAAAGCGUAAUAGCUCACUGGUCGAGUCGGCCUGCGCGGAAGAUGUAACGGGGCUAAACCAUGCACCGAAGCUGCGGCAGCGACACUGUGUGUUGUUGGGUAGGGGAGCGUUCUGUAAGCCUGUGAAGGUGUGUCGUGAGGCAUGCUGGAGGUAUCAGAAGUGCGAAUGCUGACAUAAGUAACGAUAAAGCGGGUGAAAAGCCCGCUCGCCGGAAGACCAAGGGUUCCUGUCCAACGUUAAUCGGGGCAGGGUGAGUCGACCCCUAAGGCGAGGCCGAAAGGCGUAGUCGAUGGGAAACGGGUUAAUAUUCCCGUACUUGGUGUUACUGCGAAGGGGGGACGGAGAAGGCUAUGUUGGCCGGGCGACGGUUGUCCCGGUUUAAGCGUGUAGGUGUGUGUUCCAGGUAAAUCCGGUUCACUUUAACACUGAGGCGUGACGACGAGGCACUACGGUGCUGAAGCAACAAAUGCCCUGCUUCCAGGAAAAGCCUCUAAGCAUCAGGUAACAUCAAAUCGUACCCCAAACCGACACAGGUGGUCAGGUAGAGAAUACCAAGGCGCUUGAGAGAACUCGGGUGAAGGAACUAGGCAAAAUGGUGCCGUAACUUCGGGAGAAGGCACGCUGACACGUAGGUGAAGUGAUUUACUCAUGGAGCUGAAGUCAGUCGAAGAUACCAGCUGGCUGCAACUGUUUAUUAAAAACACAGCACUGUGCAAACACGAAAGUGGACGUAUACGGUGUGACGCCUGCCCGGUGCCGGAAGGUUAAUUGAUGGGGUCAGCGCAAGCGAAGCUCCUGAUCGAAGCCCCGGUAAACGGCGGCCGUAACUAUAACGGUCCUAAGGUAGCGAAAUUCCUUGUCGGGUAAGUUCCGACCUGCACGAAUGGCGUAAUGAUGGCCAGGCUGUCUCCACCCGAGACUCAGUGAAAUUGAACUCGCUGUGAAGAUGCAGUGUACCCGCGGCAAGACGGAAAGACCCCGUGAACCUUUACUAUAGCUUGACACUGAACAUUGAGCCUUGAUGUGUAGGAUAGGUGGGAGGCUUUGAAGUGUGGACGCCAGUCUGCAUGGAGCCGACCUUGAAAUACCACCCUUUAAUGUUUGAUGUUCUAACGUGGACCCGUUACCCGGGUUGCGGACAGUGUCUGGUGGGUAGUUUGACUGGGGCGGUCUCCUCCUAAAGAGUAACGGAGGAGCACGAAGGUUGGCUAAUCCUGGUCGGACAUCAGGAGGUUAGUGCAAUGGCAUAAGCCAGCUUGACUGCGAGCGUGACGGCGCGAGCAGGUGCGAAAGCAGGUCAUAGUGAUCCGGUGGUUCUGAAUGGAAGGGCCAUCGCUCAACGGAUAAAAGGUACUCCGGGGAUAACAGGCUGAUACCGCCCAAGAGUUCAUAUCGACGGCGGUGUUUGGCACCUCGAUGUCGGCUCAUCACAUCCUGGGGCUGAAGUAGGUCCCAAGGGUAUGGCUGUUCGCCAUUUAAAGUGGUACGCGAGCUGGGUUUAGAACGUCGUGAGACAGUUCGGUCCCUAUCUGCCGUGGGCGCUGGAGAACUGAGGGGGGCUGCUCCUAGUACGAGAGGACCGGAGUGGACGCAUCACUGGUGUUCGGGUUGUCAUGCCAAUGGCACUGCCCGGUAGCUAAAUGCGGAAGAGAUAAGUGCUGAAAGCAUCUAAGCACGAAACUUGCCCCGAG
rnacentral:rRNA from 1 species